UACGGAGGGUGCAAGCGUUAAUCGGAAUUACUGGGCGUAAAGCGUGCGUAGGCGGUUUUUUAAGUCAGAUGUGAAAGCCCCGGGCUCAACCUGGGAACUGCAUUUGAAACUGGAAGACUAGAGUUGAGUAGAGGAAAGUGGAAUUUCAGGUGUAGCGGUGAAAUGCGUAGAUAUCUGAAGGAACACCAGUGGCGAAGGCGACUUUCUGGACUCAAACUGACGCUGAGGUACGAAAGCGUGGGUAGCAAACAGG
rnacentral:rRNA from 1 species